CUUGUCCUUCAGAAUGGGAAGAAAAGCCUGAGGUCAGCAGAACUGUCUCUUGGCAGAGAACGAGACUCAUGUCAUUGCCCCAGGAGGGCAGGGAAGAGGAGCCCAGGAGGAAGCUGGAAGUGGCCCAGGGCUUGCUACUGAUUUGAAGAAUGGCCAAGGGUGCCAGCAAGAUGCACUUAGGGAGAAGGUGUGGAGGUCUGUCCACGCUGUCCCGAAAGAGAGGGGAAGGGACAUCAAAAAACAUCAAUCAGUUGUCUCCUAUGUGUGCUCUGGCCGGACCAAACCUGCAAUCCAGGCAUGUUCCCUGAGCUUCAAACUGGCAGCCUUUCACCUCCAUCUGCAGGAUGACGUCCAACCAAGUGAGCCACACCGGGCAGGCCCCGUUCUGCCUCUGAGCCUCUCUUGCAGGCAGGCUGAAAGAAUCUUGAGGGUAUAGGAAAGUUUCUCCCCAACCCCGAAGUUUGCAACUUAAUUUCAGGAGCACUGAAACUUUUGCAGACAUAAGAUAUUUCUGAGUUCCUGCAACUAGAAGGAAAGUGCUAUAGUCUGAAUGUUUGUGUCUCUCCAAAACUCCUGUGUUGAAUUCCUAACCCCCACAGAUGGUCAUGUUAGGAGGUGGGACCUUCAAGGGUGAUUAGGUCAUGAGAGUGGAGUCCUCAUGAAUGGGAUUUGUGCUCUUACAAAGGGGACCCUCACAGCUCCCCACACCCCUUCUGCCACAUGAGGACACAGUGAGGAGGCUCUGGCAUGAACCCAGAGAAGAACCCUCACCCAACCACAUCGGCACCCUGAUCUUGGACCUCUGGCCUCCAGAACUGUGAGAAAGGAACUUGGUUUAUAAGCCACUCAGUCUGUAGUAUUUUGUUACAUCAGCGCAGAUGGACUAAGAUAGGAAGCGGAGCGUGAAUUAUGCUUCAACCUUUAUGAAGUAUCGGAGACCAAGUUGCCCGCUGCUGGGUACAUGGCAGAAUGAAAUGACACUGAUUUUUAUAUGGCACCAGAGCUGACGGGUUUGCACUGUUUGAUAGUUCGACCAUACUGACUGAUGUCACAUUAUCUGGGGUCUGGUCUGCAUGCUUCCCCUACUGUUCCCAAAUGACACCCAGAUGUUGAGUUUCAGGGAAACACUGUGUAUGAGGUGUGGAGAGGGAGAAUGUGAAAAUAAGCAAAUGAAAGGGGAUGUAGCUAUUAGGAGGAAGCAGGGAAAGGAUUCGAGGCAGAAUUGGGAAUUUAAGAAACAUUUAUCGUCCAAAAUUCCUCGCCACUUACUGAUAGCAUUUGGGGUGGGACUCCUCCUGCUCGGUGAACGAGAGAACAGAAAAGUCAGUUUUGGACCAUUUCCGAUAAAAAUGGAAACAAAAAGGCACCAGAAGUUACAAGAAAUAGGGGAACUUGCCCUUGAUGUUACUUCUAAACCUAGUCAAAGUUUUAGCUUUAAGGGAAGUCCUGUGUCAUUUCAUAAUUUACAAAAAGCUUUCACAAAAACAGCAGAUCUCUUCACUGCUGGAUUCGCCUUACUUUGUAGACUAUAUGAAAACGAGAAAAGCCAUUUGCCAGAGACACUGUGGGAAUAAUUGUGUGUUGGUGGGGGAUGUUAAAAUACAACCUGUAAGUAAAUACUUUUAACUUCAUCUGCCGGAGGCACUGGUUAAAUAAAUAUGGUGGGGUAAGUCAUGGAGACACACAGGUAUUGGAGCCACUCGGAUAUGGGAUCCAGUCCUGACUCUGUCUGUUACUAGCUGUGGGCAAGUCACUGAACUUCUCUGAGGUCUACGCUCUCGUGGAGAAUCCGGAGGUAGAGAUCCCUUCCCAGGCCAUGGCUGGGAGAGCCAAAGAAGACAGCAUGCGGGGGCUUCACAUGGUGUCUUCUUAGUGGGUCUGCAGGUCCUGGCUCCUCUCCUUACCUUCUGGCUCUUGUCGUCCGCAGAGCUAUUGCUGACUUCCGGUCAGUAACCCUGUGGGAUCCCCUUCAACAGUUAUUUAGACUGACCUAUUUUCUCUUUUAUGAUCUCUUUCCCCUUCGUUCAAAUAAUCUCAUUGGCUCAGAAUUCACUAGCCAUUGAUGAAUAAAACACAGUCAUAAUGUAAAAUUGUGAUUAAUAAAAUACAAUAUUUCACAACUUGAAAACUCCUAAUUUCUCAGCUAUCACAAAUAUACUUCUUGAUCCAGCAAGACUUUAUGUUCUCUUAUUACAUGGUGGGAACUAGAGAGGACCAGGGUGACUGGGCCAGGGGACAUCACUUCAUUAUCGUCAUACAAGGAGGGGCUGUGUUGAAUAUUCACACGAGCUCCGAAGGGGAACGAAGAUUCUUGGCUUCCGACAGUGAAUGACUGGACCGGUCAGGCCCUCACUGAAUUGCUGAGUCCUUGUUUCCUAAUCGGUCAAAUGCCAAUGAGAACCUUACAUGACUUUUCCCAUGGAGACGUCUCGAACAUCAAAUAAGAUGAUGAAGACACACACA